rnacentral:lncRNA from 1 species
AGAGGCUGGCACAAUGCCCAGAACCGCCAUCGCUAGGCCUGGGGUUUUCCUCUGUAGUGGAAUACUAGUAUUCAUGUAGUGCAGGGACAAAACCAAUUAGAUAGUUCUGGGAGUUAAAAAGAGGUGAUUUACAGUGCUAUUUGAGAAGGGGUAUUAAGGAAUUUGCCAGGGCACUGACGCGUGUCAGGUGUAAACCUCAGGUUGAGAGAGAGCUAAGUAUUUUCUGUCCAUGAAGGUGAUAAGCGAGGGC